UGGAGCUCUUGGAGUGGGCCCCGAGGAGGGCCACUAAGAUGAUCAGAGGGCUGGAGCACCUCUCCUGUGAGGAAAGUUUGAGGGAACUGGGAUUGUUUAGCUUGGAGAAGAGAAGGCUCCGGGGAGACCUCAUUGUGGCCUUCCAGUACUUGAGGAGACAAGUGCAAGAAGUCCUUACAAGACUUCUGGUGGUGUUGGUGUACUCAAGUGAAUGAACACAAGAUGUUGUUGUAUUUCAGAUCUACAUCACCAAUUGCACAGUCAUUUUGGAAACGGUCUUAACUGAGCUCUCCAGCAUCCUUACCUCUUCACACAGUCCCACUGGAAAUAGGCAAUUCCAUGCCCGCCGUGUGCCAGCUGCCCUGAUUUGUCAAAGUUUUCCUUCAGCCCUGGGCUUUCUAACUCUGAC
ensembl:lncRNA